rnacentral:rRNA from 1 species
AGCCAGACUCCUACGGGAGGCAGCAGUGGGGGAUAUUGCACAAUGGGGGGAACCCUGAUGCAGCGACGCCGCGUGGGUGAAGGAGUAUUUCGGUAUGUAAAGCCCUAUCGGCAGGGAAGAAGAAAGACGGUACCUGACUAAGAAGCCCCGGCUAACUACGUGCCAGCAGCCGCGGUAAUACGUAGGGGGCAAGCGUUAUCCGGAUUUACUGGGUGUAAAGGGGGCGCAGACGGCGAUGCAAGCCAGGAGUGAAAGCCCGGGGCCCAACCCCGGGACUGCUCUUGGAACUGCGUGGCUGGAGUGCAGGAGGGGCAGGCGGAAUUCCUGGUGUAGCGGUGAAAUGCGUAGAUAUCAGGAGGAACACCGGUGGCGAAGGCGGCUUACUGGACCAUAACUGACGUUGAGGCUCGAAAGCGUGGGGAGCGAACAGGAUUAGAUACCCUUGUAC